AGCGAACGCUGGCGGCAGGCCUAACACAUGCGAGUCGAGCGGCCGUAGCAAUACGGCAGCGGCAGACGGGAGAGUAACACGUGGGAACGCGCCCUUCGGUUCGGGAUAACUCAGGGAAACUUGGGCUAAUACCGGAUACGCCCUUACGGGGAAAGAUUUAUUGCCGAAGGAACGGCCCGCGUCCGAUUAGCUAGUUGGUGAGGUAACGGCUCACCAAGGCGACGAUCGGUAGCUGGUCUGAGAGGAUGACCAGCCUCACUGGGACUGCGACACGGCCCAGACUCCUACGGGAGGCAGCAGUGGGGAAUAUUGGACAAUGGGCGCAAGCCUGAUCCAGCCAUGCCGCGUGGGUGAUGAAGGCCCUAGGGUUGUAAAGCCCUUUCAGCGGGGAAGAUAAUGACGGUACCCGCAGAAGAAGCCCCGGCUAACUUCGUGCCAGCCGCCGCAGUAA
rnacentral:rRNA from 1 species